rnacentral:rRNA from 1 species
UCGAGAAUCUUCGGCAAUGGGCGCAAGCCUGACCGAGCGACGCCGCGUGGGGGACGAAGGCCUUCGGGUUGUAAACCCCUGUCGGGGGGGAGGAAGGGGCGCAAGCCCUUGACCGAUCCCUGGAGGAAGCACGGGCUAAGUUCGUGCCAGCAGCCGCGGUAAGACGAACCGUGCGAACGUUAUUCGGAAUCACUGGGCUUAAAGCGCGUGUAGGCGGGGCGGCACGUCGGUCGCUGAAAGCCCCCGGCUCAACCGGGGAACGGGCGCCGAUACGACCGCCCUGGAGGGACGUAGGGGGGCCUGGAACUUCCGGUGGAGCGGUGAAAUGCGUUGAGAUCGGAAGGAACGCCCGUGGCGAAAGCGAGGCCCUGGACGUCUGCUGACGCUGAGACGCGAAAGCCAGGGGAGCGAACGGGAUUAGAUACCCCCGUAGUCC